ACCUAAGAGUAUGCUGGUAUAAUUUUUUGAAAUUCAACAAAGAAGAACAGAAACCUGGAAAGAUUCCAAAGGAAAAAUAACCCAACUUCUCAUCUGUAAUACCGGAAGCUUAGUGACAGUGAAAAGACAUCUCUGAGCUUUCUGAAGAAAAGCACAGCAACCCACAAAUCCUUUCAAAUCAGCCUCAGCGUCACUUACUUUCAGGGUUCCCAGACUGUCCAAGACCCCAGUACUUCCUGCACAUUGGAAAGGAUUGUGGGGCAAUCUGUCCAGCUGCAAAUGAACUCCUCUGUGGGCCCGAACAUCCGAGAGAUUGAGUGGAAUUGGAAUUCUAAGCAUGAGAAAGAAUGGCUUCUGGUGUCUUGGAAACCUGGUACCCGUAAUCCUGAAUGAGCCCAUCCCGCAGCCCCAGAUUCAGAUUCAUGUGGCAUCCAGCGCAUCAGGCUGGUGCAAUAUCAGCCUGGAGUGCUGGACCCCAGGAGCCACAGAGGACCUGGAAGUGACCUGGCUGAGUACUGGCCUUCCCAGGGAGCUGGAGCAGAGAGAGACACUGGGCCCAGCCCCCAACUCCAGGAAUCUAACCCUGAGCUGGCUCCUGAGUCAGUCAGUCGGCAGCCUCACCUGCAUGGUCUGCAACCUGUGGACAGGAAGAAUGCAACUUUACAGCUGGAGGACAUCUGUUCACGGAGGGAAUGACACAAAGAAGUGCAGCUGGCACGCACAUAGCCUUGAGUGUUCUCCGGCAGUGCACACCGUCUACGAGGAGAUCCAGACAAGCCCAGGGUCCCAGGAGGACACCUAGAUUAUGGAGACUUGGGGCAGUGAGGGGCCUUGGCAGGAGGUGCCCCAGCCCACCUUCAUCUCUGGGUCCCCAGGUAUCUCUCCUUUAGGUGGAACUGGACUAGACUCCAAGUCUUUCUGACCCAUCCCACUGAAACAGCAGAGCAGCAUGAACUGCCCCCCCACACCCUGAUCCUCAGCAAAGUUUUCUCAGCUCACAGGUUGUGAACACUUGACUCUCUUAGAACAGCCAAGUAUGAGAGGCGAACCCUUCCGCAGUCAGCCAGAUUCCUGACUGCUGACCUCUGAUUUCUGAUCCUUCUAACCUCCCUUAGGGAACACCCAUCAGACAGAACCUGCAGAGGGAUGCUCAGGUGACACAGAUGCUUUCCCAGAAUAGCGAAGGUGCUGGGGCCUAGGUGGGGGCUUUCAGGAUGUCACACACCAGUCCACUCCCCAUGAGAGAGGGAUGGCCUUGACUGAAAAAAAAGCUAGAGGCCUGCAGAUGCAAGAUUCAGGGUCAGCUGUGCAUAGAGGGGAGUGGUGGGAAGGGAAGGAAACAGUUUCCGAGUUCCAUCACCUACCAGGUGUAAUAGCAUAGGAAAUGUACCAUCUCAGGGUUUCUCAAAAUUCAAGUAAAGCUAGAUGCUUUUAUUUUCAUUAUAUAAUAUAUAUAUAAACCGUAUGAAAGUCAAAAGACAUGUCUUGUGGAAAUUUCAAUGUUUCAUCAUUUUUGUUGCUGUUGUAAAUGGGGUCUUUUUCCCAUUAUACCUUCUACUGAGUUGAUUAAAAUAAUGUGUAUAGAACAUAUGGUCAUGUCAUUAAAUGUUCCUACUGUUUGUAACAGAUUUUCAUUUGGUCCCUUUGAUUUUCUACAUAAUCAUAUUAUCAACAAAUAAUGAUAACUUUCUUUCCAAUUUACAUGGCUCCUUCCUUGUCUCUUGUUUCACUGCAUUUUAUACCUCCAGAACCAUGUUAAAUAAUAGCAAUGAAAUAAUAGUAAUGAAAACAUCGCCUUGCUUUGCUCCUAAAGUUAAUGCUUCUAGUGUUUCCUUGUUAAGCAUGAUGUAGUUUUAUGGUUAAGACAUAUAAGACAUGUUAAGAAGUACACAUUUAUUCCUGUUUUAUCAAGAGUUUUACCAAGAAUGAAAGGUUAAGUAGUUUCCCUUUUGUCACAUAGUUUUUUGUUUCAUCUAUUAAUAAUACAUUAAUAGAUUUCCUAAUAUUGAAUUAUUCUUGUUCUAGUCUUGUUGAUGUGUUAGUCUUUUAAUGUGCUACUAUUUGGUAAUUCUCCUGUAUUUUCUUUAUUUUUAUGCUUUACUUUGUCAGUGUGGUAUUUGUGUUAUGCUUACUAAAGAUCUCUCUUGUUCUUGCUUCUUGUAAUAGUUUGAUAAAAAUUUGUUUCAUAGUCCAAAAAAGACUCCUUUUAAAGAAAAGAACUCCCAUUAUCCAGUGUUGAUUUAAAUUAUUUUUAUUAUAAUUUACUUUUAGAUGUAUAAAUAUGAAAAUAUGUAUAAAUGUCUGUGCUUAUAGUUUUUAUACUAUAAACCAAAAAAUGGAUAUAAAUUAAAUAAAAAUAAAGUAGUAAAACAAUGAUGCAAUGGUUAGUCACACAGAUAUUCAAACCUACAACUUGAGUGUUAUGUGACGGGUGUUUUUGUUUUGCUGAAACAAGUCAUUAAUGUUGGGAUUGUAGGAAAAAAACUGUAGGGUCACAUAAGGUUCUAUACUUAUUUUUUUAACUUGAAUACAAACAAUGCUAGUUCAUGUACAUUUGUUAUACAAUGCUUGAUGAAAGCCUUUGUUUACUAGUUCAAAGGAGCAACAUCGUUCUUAACCAAAACUC